GUGGCGCACGGCUGAGUAACACGUGGGAACCCGCCCCCCGGUGGGGGAUAACGCGACGAAAGUGCUAAUCCCGCAUACGUCCGCAGGGGGAAAGCGCUUCGGCGCGCCGGGGGAGGUGCCUGCGGCAUCAGGUCGUUGGUGGGGUAACGGCCUACCAAGCCGAUGACGGGUAGCUGGUCUGGGAGGAUGACCAGCCAGACUGGGACUGAGACACGGCCCAGACUCCUACGGGAGGCAGCAGCAAGGAAUUUUCGGCAAUGGGCGCAAGCUGACCGAGCAACGCCGCGUGCGGGAUGACGGCCUUCGGGUUGUAAACCGCUUUUAGGGGGGACGAUGAUGACGGUACCCCCGGAACAAGCCCCGGCUAACUCUGUGCCAGCAGCCGCGGUAAGACAGAGGGGGCGAGCGUUGUCCGGAGUCACUGGGCGUAAAGCGCGCGCAGGCGGUCGCCAAAGUGUCGUGUGAAAGCCCCCGGCUCAACCGGGGGAGGCCAUGGCAAACUCGGCGACUGGAGCGGCGGAGAGGCCCCUCGAAUUGCCGGUGUAGCGGUGAAAUGCGUAGAGAUCGGCAGGAAGACCAAGGGGGAAGCCAGGGGGCUGGCCGCUGGCUGACGCUGAGGCGCGACAGCGUGGGGAGCGAACCGGAUUAGAUACCCGGGUAGUCCCCGCCGUAAACAAUGACACUCGGCGUGCGGCGACUAUUGCCGUCGCGGUGCGCCUUAGUCACGCGCUAAGUGGUCCGCCUGGGAACUACGAGCGCAAGCUUAAAACUCAAAGGAAUUGACGGGGGCCCGAACAAGCAGCGGAGCGUGUGGUUUAAUUCGAGGCAACCCGAAGAACCUUACCCAGGCUUGACAUGACGGUGCAGACGGCGGAAACGCCGUAGCCUACGAGGGCCCGUCA
rnacentral:rRNA from 1 species